rnacentral:lncRNA from 1 species
UGUGUCAAAAAAUAAUAAGUUGACAAUAACCCUGCCAGAAUAUGCAGCAAGGAUGACUGCAUAUUUCUUCUUGCCAGCAUGACAGUAUUAGGGAGCUGGUACAAGCACAGAGGAGAGAGGGCUCUGGACUCAGAAGCAUGCUGCCUUAUCUCGGGCUUUAAAGACUUCUCUGGAGAGCUGCUUGAGAUUCAGAUGCAAGAAAGGCUAAACAGACCGCUGGAGAUUAAAACUGAAAGUUUUCAUUUUUCUUCAUCUUUUCAGAAGAAAUUUUCGUCCUUUGUUCCCUUCCUGGAGAGCUUUUCCACCGCAGAUGACCGACUCUUCUUUUCAAGAGAGCAUCUUUCUUCCUUUCCCUUUUCCCUGUCUUCCUGCUUGUAGGUUUUGCGUUCUCUAGCUGCUCUUUUUUUCCACCCCCUGAUUCUCAAGUGCCUUUUAAAGUCUGAUAGCUCAAAUUAGCCUGGUUAGGUUCAAUAGGCUGAGACAGUUCAAGUGUUCAGUGUUUCAUUGUUAUGCAACCCAUAUUCCAUCACCCACUGCAGCCCCCUCUGCAUCAAGUUACAUUGCAGCACCUGGCCAAUGCAGUGAAGCUGGAUGGAAACCAUUUUGAAAGGCUGUUGAGAAAGGAGUUCCUUUAUCAAUCAGAUUAGAUUCUGCUUCACGCACCCUUUCCCAGCCUUAGCAUUACUCUCAGCGUGAGACGCCACAUCAGGAAACUACCAUGGUGGAAGGCUAAAUGCAUUUUCCAAAAGAUGGCUACUUGGCCCACUUCAUGUGGGAAAUUGCACAUGCACCGAUGUUCCUCUGCAGUUUUCAGGCACAAAUACCUGCACUUCCACUUUAGUGGCACUUGUGAAUGCAGAUAUUGGACUAUAGACCUGUGUAGGUGUUUGCAUUUGUGAAUUGUGUGUAAAACGCCCAUGCAAUUUUGGGUGAGCACACAACAGGCAUUUAAAAAAAAAAAUCACAUUUUAACAUGUGUUAAUUGUAACAUGAUUAUAGACAGGCCACAAAUACUGAACCUUAGGGUCUACUGCACCCCCCCCCCUUGCUGUUGCAGGCCCUCAGGCACACUGAUCUGAAAAUUCACCCCCCCCAGGAAGAGAAUAUAUUUAGUAGUUCAAGCUAGUUAUCCCGUGCGCUGUGUGUGUAAAAAAAGUUUCU